rnacentral:rRNA from 1 species
AGGACGAACGCUGGCGGCGUGCUUAACACAUGCAAGUCGAGCGGAAAGGCCCUUCGGGGUACUCGAGCGGCGAACGGGUGAGUAACACGUGAGCAACCUGCCCUUAGCUUCGGGAUAGCUCCGGGAAACCGGAAUUAAUACCGAAUAUGACUUUGGCUGACAUCAGCAGAAGUGGAAAGUUUUUCGGCUAGGGAUGGACUCGCGACCUAUCAGCUAGUUGGUGAGGUAACGGCCCACCAAGGCGACGACGGGUA